CUUAUCAUGGUAUCAGAGCAGUGAAGUUCCCUGCAAUGGCGAACAAAUCCAGUGCUGAAGCAGAGAUUCAAAACCAGACAAAGCAAGCUGGUUCAUCAACUUAUUCAUCUGCUGUAGAAACGAUGACCGGAGACGUGAUUCCUCUUGUCAAUCGAUUGAUCAGUGAUCCGAGCAGUCCGUAUUACCUCCACUAUGGGGACAAUACAGGUAUGCAGCUCAUCUCUGUGAUGCUUAAUGAAGAUAAUUAUGCGACGUGGAGUCGUGCGGUGGUGAUGGCACUCAAUGUGAAAAACAAGGAGGGCUUCAUUGACGGAUCGAUCGUCAAACCUCCAUUGGAUGAUCCUCUUUAUGGAGCUUGGAGGAGAUGUAAUCAUGUGGUUUCCUUUUGGAUUAUCAACUCCAUUCCGAAGGAGUUAUACCCCAGUGUGAUGCACAAAGAUUCGGCGAGGCAAAUCUGGAUUGAACUCAAGGACUGCUAUAGCCAAGGUAAUGGACCUCGCAUAUAUGAACUGAAGAAGCAAAUUGCUUCGAUUACUCAAGGAAAUUGCUCUGUCAAUUAUAGACCGGAAGUCAACAAUACCAAUUAUAAGUUUGAAGAUCAACAAUGCAGUUUCUUAUGGGUUUAGAUGAACAUUUCUCUAGUGUGAGAAGCCAAAUAUUGUUGAUGGAUCUAUUAUCCCCUCUCAACAAGGUAUUUGCUCUAAUCCUACAAGAUGAGAGGCCAAAGGAAGUUGUUGGUAAAAGACAACAACAAUUUGAUGCAAAGGCUUUUGCCAGUAGACUGAUUUUCAAUUCCAAUAAUAAUAAAAGAGCUAGUACAUUACAAAGAAGGGAGAAACCAAUGUGUAGCCACUGUGGAAUGCUCGGGCAUCGUAAGGGAAAAUGCUACAAGCUAAUUGGUUAUCCUCCAGGUCACAAACUUUCUAAAGGAAAAUGUCCAGUUGCAAAUGCUGUUAGUGAAGCGUCUCAGGUUAAUAAUUCAGAAGUAAUGAAUGCUAUCUCCAGCCUCACUAUUACACUUG
rnacentral:lncRNA from 1 species